UACGUAGGGGGCAAGCGUUAUCCGGAUUCACUGGGCGUAAAGGGAGCGCGGGCGGCAUGGCAAGUCUGAUGUGAAAACCCGGGGCCCAACCCCGGGAGUGCAUUGGAAACUGCCAGGCUGGAGUGUCGGAGGGGUAAGCGGAAUUCCUAGUGUAGCGGUGAAAUGCGUAGAUAUUAGGAGGAACACCAGUGGCGAAGGCGGCUUACUGGACGACUACUGACGCUGAGGCUCGAAAGCGUGGGGAGCAAACAGG
rnacentral:rRNA from 1 species